UGUGAGAACCUGCUGUAUAUGAAAUUAUAUUUUCUCAGCUUUUCAUUAUGUGCUUCUUAGUAAGCAAGGGGGACAAGUUUAGAUUUUAAAGUGUAUUUUGGCCGAGUGAAUGUAGUUAUUUGUUUUGUUGAGUGCAGAAACGUUUGCAAUGUAGAUCCAAAAUUAACUAGAAGGAAGCCGUCUUGUGUCCGGAGUUGCUAGUAGCCUCCAUGAAAUUAACACAGUGAGUUCAGACAUCCUAGAACCUCACGUACUAGCUGUUGCCACUCAGUGGAGCAAGGAAGAGGUACGUUCCUUCGAUGCCACGUCUGUUUUGAAUGGUGUGUUGUGCGACCAUGAAUAUUAUUCUCAAGAGAAUACACACAACAGGACGAAAAAAAAAGGAAGUGAGAAAGGGGGAAAUGAGAAGACUAUUAGAUGCCAGAAGAUAAGGAAAGAAAAAUAAAGAGUUUAAAGAAAAUCGAAGAGGAAGGUAAACAAGAAAAUAGUAAAUAGGAGAACGACUAAUAUUUAUAAUAAGUUAAGUAUUUU